UUUUCAAGAGCUGUAAAAUGAACUUCAUUCAAAUUUAAGAAGUUAAUGUAUUAGUCCAUAUUGAAAGCACUGCUGAGACAAAUAAUACAAUACUUGACCCGAUCGAUUAUCUUUGAGUUGUGUUAAGUUUUCUUUUGACUACCUCGUUUCCUUGAGUUCACGACAAUGAUGAGAGGCCUAAAUCUUGUGUUUGUUGUAAUGAAACUUGUUGUGCUUGUGGAGAGAAUUGAUUAGGAGCUUCUUGUACUUGUUCCAUUUAUCUCAAAUAUAUACAAU
rnacentral:lncRNA from 1 species